UGAUCUACAGGCUCUUGUUGCGGCUGCCGCCGCAGCUAGACCUUCUGAAGUCGAAAUUCUCUUGGCAGCUCAGCAGGCUGCAGCUGGAGUUCCUGCUCAACCUGUCCGUGGCUUCAUUAAGCAUGAGAUUCCCCAGCCCGGAGGCAGAGAAAGCAUUGAAGUUCUGUACCCAUUCGGCUUUCCUCAAGCUGCUCCAGCUGCCCCUGCUGUUCCUGCUGUUCCUGCUGCCCCAGUACAGUCCAAACUGAACAUUUGCCCCUGUUCCAAAGGACGAUGAUGAUGACGAUCAUGAUGACUAAACCAGACUGAUGAACAGAUAAGCUGACCACCAAUUCCUGAAUGACAAAGAAGCUGCUUGUAGUGUUUAACAAAUUGACUGCGUAAACCCUUUCCUGCAUUAGAAAUAAUGACGAUCAAUCAAAUGGUGCUUUCUCAGUGGCUUGAUGCACGAGAGCCAUAAAAAUCAUCGCUUUUUUGCUACCAUGUUUUUAAAUCUUGAUUUAUAGUAAACCGUUCAAUCAA